AAGAUACUCCCUCCGUCCGAAAAUACUUGUCAUCAAAAUGGACAAAAAGGGAUGUAUCUAGAACUAAAAUACAUCUAGAUACAUCCUUUUUUAUUCAUUUUGAUGACAAGUAUUUCCGGACGGAGGGAGUAAUAU
rnacentral:pre_miRNA from 1 species